GACGUAGGGCGCGAGCGUUGUCCGGAUUUAUUGGGCGUAAAGAGCUCGUAGGCGGCUUGUCGCGUCGAAUGUGAAAACUCGGGGCUCAACUCCGAGCUUGCAUUCGAUACGGGCAGGCUAGAGUUCGGUAGGGGAGACUGGAAUUCCUGGUGUAGCGGUGAAAUGCGCAGAUAUCAGGAGGAACACCGGUGGCGAAGGCGGGUCUCUGGGCCGAUACUGACGCUGAGGAGCGAAAGCGUGGGGGAGCGAACAGG
rnacentral:rRNA from 1 species